rnacentral:lncRNA from 1 species
CACAAUCAGAGGGCGUCAGAAGAGUUUAGUGGAAGCUGCGGUGGUUUAUGCCUGUAAUCCCAGCACUUGGGAAGUAGAAGCAGAAAGAUAAGAAGUGAAACGUCACCCUCAGUAAAUUCAAGUACGUUUGGAAGCACAGACGUCAUGAAAGAUAAAGAUUGGUUAGGUCUUGGCAGUUAGCAAAGAUGGGCCAGGUGCUGGUGGCACGCACUGCCUGCUGACGUCCUCCCACAGAGGAUGACAGGCGAAUUGCUCACCCUCGGUCCUGGACUUCGUCAUCUGGAGGCGGCUCUUCCUGGUGGUUGGUGGGAGCCUGGACUCUGCCUUCUGAAUUCAGCUCCCUGUAACCCAUCUGCUUCGCCACUAGAGGCGGCAAAUGCAAGGCUCUGGGCUACGCUCUACAAACAGUCCAGGCAGAGGGUGGGAAGACUGCAGGGUGCGGUGGCCAGAAUGUGGCGUCACGCUUCCUGGGGACAAGCGCACUUCCUCAGACUCAUGCAAUUACAGUCAUGAUGAACACAGCUGGAAACAAGCGAAAGCGAUGCUGCAAUACUCCCUGUGAAGACAAUGCAAACGUCCCAUGGGCGUUGGACCGCAAUCGUCACGCGGCGGUGUGUUUUCUUCCACUUAAGAGUGACCGGAGAUUCUCUUUGUGACUUCGUACUGUGGAAGACCUGUAAGAAUUCAAAUCGUGAGACACCACUCCCCACUGUAGGACUGCCCGGAAGAAGACAUUUGAGGAAGAAUAAGAGGCUCACAGAGGGUAGGGGGAGCAUGGAGAGUCAUUGGUUAGGAGGAGGAGGAAAGUGGAAAAUUCGAGCAUGCAAUAGAGAAAUGCUACUGUUUACAUAUCCAGAAAGAAACCAAAAUACAAGACUUUCAUGUAACAUUUCAUUCGCUCUGUGUUGCUGGGUAUGGAACUCGGGCCUCCAGUAUCCGGGGGGAUGCCACUCCCUUCCACUCAGCCAUACCCUGCCCCUCAGGUGUAACAUUUUAAUUGGCCUCCCUGAAAUAAGAUUCCACUAAACACACACAAAACUGCGAUUCU